rnacentral:misc_RNA from 1 species
GCAUAAACAAGGUACAAUAAACGCAAAUGAUCAAGGAACAAACUUAAAUAUUAAGUAGCCCUGACUUGAAGACUUUAGUACAUUUUAAGAGUAAUCCAUUCAGCAAAUCAGUGAUACAAAACCCAUGUAGGACAUACAAGUAACAUAAAAUAUUAUACUUCAGAAAGUCAUAAUGCAACCAACUCUUGUCGAUGUGAACCAUGACUAUGUACCGAGAUGUUCUGCAGGUACUAGCUAAGAGCAACCAUCCUUUGUAGCCCUUGAUUAAUAGAUCAUGUUCAAAUAGUUUUCCAUUGAAGGUGAACAAUCAUCAUUCAGGUUUUCAGUUCAGAACAUGAACACCAAACACAAAAAAUACCCUUGAAAAAACCCAUCAAUACAAUUCAACCCAUAGUAUUGAUCACCAUAGUUAAACAUUGUUAUACA